rnacentral:misc_RNA from 1 species
AGUCUUAUAGAGGCGACGGUCGGAGAGUGUGACCAGGAACGGGCUUAGAGUGAAAGAUCAAUCAGCUCUAAAAAGGUGAAUGGUAGAAGUGUACAUCGACCAGUGAUUUUUUAAACACCUCGUUAAGAGACAAGAAAGGAACACUUCUUGACCUAAGAUAACUCGAAACUGACCUUUGACCUGAGAUGACGUACGUGUCCUUGCAUCAUCCUCGCACUCCGCUCGACUGCUUGCUUGGGAGUCUUCGAUCUUGCUGUGGCCCCGCUCCCACCCUCGAGAUGGUUUCCAGGCGCAGGAUCUUAGGCCGUUCGCAGGACAACAUUCAUCUGGACAACUACCAGGAGGAAGAAGAGGAUGUCUACUACACGAAGGAACGGCUUCUUAAGGAGCACAUCCAGGAAGUGCUGAUGAAGUGGGAGCAAAUCGACGACGAGAUCUGGUCCAAGGUGAUCGUCCUGGAGCGCAACCGCCGCGUCGCGAAGGCCUACGCCCGCGCGCCCGUCCUCACCGUCAACGGCUCCGACGACGGCUUCGACGGAUACAGGAUUGGACUCUGUGGCUUCGAUAAUCCCAUGAGAGAUCCAAGGACAGAUGAAAUCAAGAGACACAUUGGCCAUGGCGUGAAAGUGAAGAUGGACGACCAAGGCAACAUCCUCAUCAAGCGCGUGUCCAAGGCAGGUGUCUACGUGAAAAUGACCAGUGACGAUAACGCUAUCAGUAACGACAUUCUGAGGCUGCCUAACCUCGGCUUGGAGAACGAAAAGCCUGUUAUGCUUUUCGACAUGAACAAAUUCCAGCAGAACGUGAAACGCGAGAUGCGCCGCCAGUACCCGGACCGUUCCAAGCUCGAGACCCAGUGCGUGUGCCUCAUCGCCUUUGUUAAGAAUGAGCAGGACAUCUUGGACUGCCCGAUCUGGGUCAUGAUCAUCAACAUCGUCGCCAUGGACAUGCUCAAGUCCAAGCUGCCUCCGGUGAGGGUCCUGCCAAAUAUCAGGAAUCGCCCGCGCAUCCCCAUCCCAGACGAAGAUCCCUACAGCGUGGCAGGAGGAUCCGGUGCUUCCUCAGGAUCCUCAGGCAAGGACCGAGCUGGCAAGGACAAACCUCCAAAGUUACCCCCAAGGGACUCCCCCAAUCACCCCGUCCCUGGACCUCGACCCAACGGCAAGUCCGACGCCCUGGAUGAGAACGCCUUCCGCAAGCUGCAGUCUCGCAACAAUAACAACAACAACAACAACAGAUCCCAGGACCGCAAGUAUGACGACCCAUACUACUGCGGUUUGAGAGCCCGCAUCCCCAACUUUGCCAAGCCGAAGUCGAAGGAUAAGCAGGAUGUGGUUCGUGCCCAGUACCCACCCCCCGUUCCUGCCCACCCCAUGUGGCACACUCGGAGCUUCGACUCGGGCAUGGCUCUUUUGCAACACAACCAAGUGCAAAAUAUUCACAGACUAGAACGCAACCCCUGCUCGUGGGUACCUACUUUGCCUGGAAGAAAUGAAACUGAAUGGGAAUCGUACUGGGACUCAUGAAGUGUGACUAAAUCAAAAAAAAUCAGUGGAAGCGUGUAAGAAGGGCACCAACCUUUGCUCUGUUCUAGACUCUGACUUCACCGAGUCUGCCUACUCCCACAUUUACGGUCGGCUGCCACUCCCAAACCGGGGUUACCUCCCCCCACCCCCGCCCCAUCCGCGUGCCAUGUACGUGGGGGAGUGGGACUAGAGGUCAAGUAAGGUCAUGCAAGAAGGAAUAAUUAUUAAAAAGAAUAUAGAAGAAUAAAUAAGAAGAAUGCCAUUUUCAAGAGGACGUUCGCCGAUUCGUUUAGUCUCGAGCGGUGUUUCGAGACAGGUUUCCCGAAGCCUUUUGUUUUAUUGUCAGAUUCUCUGUGACCUUACUCUCGCUCGGGGGUUCUUAUCCGGACUUCUUUUUAAAAAAAUAUUCUGAUCACUCGAAAAAAAGAAGCGGAAGUAAAAAAAAAAGAGAAGAG